rnacentral:rRNA from 1 species
CCAGACUCCUACGGGAGGCAGCAGUGGGGGAUAUUGCACAAUGGGGGGAACCCUGAUGCAGCGACGCCGCGUGGGUGAAGGAGUGCUUCGGCAUGUAAAGCCCUAUCGGCAGGGAAGAAGCAAGACGGUACCUGACUAAGAAGCCCCGGCUAACUACGUGCCAGCAGCCGCGGUAAUACGGAGGAUGCGAGCGUUAUCCGGAUUUAUUGGGUUUAAAGGGUGCGUAGGCGGGACGGUAAGUCAGCGGUAAAAAUGCGGAGCUCAACUCCGUCGAGCCGUUGAAACUGCCGUUCUUGAGUGAGCGAGAAGUAUGCGGAAUGCGUGGUGUAGCGGUGAAAUGCAUAGAUAUCACGCAGAACUCCGAUUGCGAAGGCAGCAUACCGGCGCUCAACUGACGCUGAAGCACGAAGGCGUGGGUAUCGAACAGGAUUAGAUACCCGAGUAGUA